GACGAACGCUGGCGGCGUGCUUAACACAUGCAAGUCGAACGGAAAGGCCCUGCUUUUGUGGGGUGCUCGAGUGGCGAACGGGUGAGUAACACGUGAGUAACCUGCCCUUGACUUUGGGAUAACUUCAGGAAACUGGGGCUAAUACCGGAUAGGAGCUCCUGCUGCAUGGUGGGGGUUGGAAAGUUUCGGCGUUUGGGGCUGGACUCGCGGCUUAUCAGCUUGUUGGUGGGGUAGUGGCUUACCAAGGCUUUGACGGGUAGCCGGCCUGAGAGGGUGACCGGCCACAUUGGGACUGAGAUACGGCCCAGAAGCCUACGGGAGGCAACAGUGGGGAAUAUUACACAAUGAGCGGAAGCCUGAUGCAACAACGCCGCGAGCGGGAUGACGGCCUUCGGGUUGUAAACCGCUUUCGCCUGUGACGAAGCGUGAGUGACGGUAAUGGGUAAAGAAGCACCGGCUAACUACGUG
rnacentral:rRNA from 1 species